AAGAGGUUGAAUGCUAGUUUUACCUGCCCCAUGCUGUGCACACAAUCCCAUUAUGGUUCUGCUAACGCCUUGUAUGUAUGGUUUUGUAAGAUCUCUGAAAUGACCAAGUUGUUAGUCUCUGCUCAGAAUCUACAAGCUCUAUACUUCCAGAACUCCCAGAACUCCCAGUCAACAUGGAGUCAUACAUAACACUAAUCAGGACUACACAUUUGAUUACUUUGAUGGAUUCAUGAACCUGCUGAUACACACAUGUGGACAUUCUAAAACACAUUAGAUCAAGACAUGCAUCUUGCUGUUUGAGUUAAUUCAAACUCACUUUAAAAAAGAAACACUUGCCAAAUCUUUAGUAAACUAGUUAUUUGUACCAUUUUAUCAGAUAUUGCUAGAAAAAUAUGCAAGGAUUGGUUUGACAUAGAGCAUAGCCAUGGGAUUUUAUUUUGAUAUUCCAGUAUUUCCUUUGCUACUGAUUUUAUGUAUACUUUUAUUUAUAUUUGCCAUAGAAAAUAUCAAUUAGUAUAUCUCCAUUGUAUAUUUAUUUAAAUAUUGCCCUCUAGUGGCUAAAUAUUGCCCAUAUUAUUGUGAUCCAGAAUACCAUCUCCUGCUUGGAUGAGGUUUGCAGACUAUAGGAAAUUCUGUUGCCAUCUUGAGGCAAUUUUAAAAAAUACAAAAAGGGUCUUCCUGUUUUCUCAGUUCUAAUAGUCAGUUUCAUUCUAAUUUUUUGUUAAUACCAUUGCAUUUUUGCCUAUGAAUCAAUAUUGACUCCUUUAGACAACUCUCAUGCACAGUAAUUAAAAUAUGAACAUUUUUCAAUUAUUUCUUUAAAAAAGAUUGUUGAUUCAGUAUGAUUUAAAUGCCAUCAUUAAUUUAAAAAACAGAAAUCCUAAUUCUAUUGAUCCAUUAGAAAAAGAAUUGAAACUCUGUAAGGGUGUGAUAAAGUGUGAUAAAAAGUGUGUGCAAAAUCUCUGAAGAAAUCAGAGAAGAGGGUUAUCAAUAAUACAUUAGUAAAGUAGCUUUUUAAACAAAACAAUAAAAGCAGUAUGUAGCAAACUUCACAACAGUUUUGUUCAAGAAAAUAUUAAAAAAUAGCUUUCUUUGUAGAAGAGGGAUAUGUACUUUAUAUAUGUAACUAACGCUUUUGUAUUACGUUUCAACAAAAAGUAUUAAUGCAAUUACUGUAAUGUCAAGACAUUCAGGACAGUGGUGACUGUAAAGCUAAGGAAGAGGCUGGCUAAUGGUGAGUGGAACAGAUAAGCCUCAAUUGAGAUCAGAAAAAAAUACACUAUUUACUGCUUAAAAACAUUGAUUUGACAAUUAGUACUUGUCUGCCUAGAGAACCUCUCUGAUUGUUUCUGGACCACUUUAGGGGUUCCUUAACUGUGUAAGUAAAACCAACUUAUAGCCCUAGUUAAGAAUAAGCAUGAUCUGUGUGGGAAAAACUAAUGGUACUGAGGGGAGGAUUUUGUGUAGCAGCUAAUUCUCAGCACUGUCAUCAGCAUUAUAAUUCAUAUUCCCAGUUUUCCUUAGUAAAAAAAUAUGACCGUAUGCACCGAUUUACAAAGAAGCUUUUUAAUCCUUAUAUUCCUACCUCUUAAUAAAAGUAGUUUAAAUUAAAAAAAACUGCAAUCUUUUACUAGUUUCAUGAAGUUAAAAUAUAUAAAAAUAAUUAUGCAAUUGUAGUGGUAUGUGCAAGGCUGGAAAGUGAAUCAAUAAACAGAUAAACAGAAUUCUUUGGUCCCUUUCCCACAGGAGCUGAUUUGUAUUAGAAACUGGUUUCUAAAUCCUCUCCACCAUGUGUCCAAGAAGGAGUAUCUUCUGUGGGCAGCAGCUGUAUUUGUGUUCUUUAGAAUACUCUUUGCAGCUGCAGGAAUUCUCUCAGGAUGGGAAUUUAAAAUUCUCAAGUGAGGAACUAUUUAGCGUUCUCUUGCUAUCAUUUACUUGGUACAUCCUGAUAACUAAUACGAUCAGAAUUGUUGAGAGCUAUUGCUGUCACUCUUUUUAUACUUCUGCGCAUUAUUCUUUGGUUACCCAGUGCUGAUAACUCAUUUUUUUCUGAAUAUCCUGAAACCUUUCCUCUGUCUUUAUAAAGAUUUGAAAGCCACUUGAUUUUAAUGACUGGAUAUCCCAGAGUAAAGGCAAUAAAUGCUUGUCAUAGUGCAUAGUGAUUAGCUGGAUGAUUAAUCAUUCUCUGGGGUAGAAAAUGUACUGUGCUGUCAGAUGUUGGCUUGAUGGUUUCCCCUCCUGCUAAUUAUUAGCUUUUCUUUGGCUUUUUAUUCCAUUUGAUUGCCCAGAGAAUCUGAUACCAACAGACUAACAUUUUUUGUAAAAGCGUACAAAGAAAUUUAAACCAUUUAGAUAAACUAACCUUUUAAAAAUAAAUCAAGGACCAACUAUAAUAUGGAUUACAUUCUAGUAAAAAUUGUAACGUGUCAAUUUUUACCAGACUAAAUUGACCCUUUAUCUAUUGUAUGUUGCAAACAGGCAAUGCCACUAUAUUUUAAUCAUUGGCUAGUUUUCUGAAGAACUAUCAGCAUCCUGAGCAUUUCUUCUUAAAGUUAAAGCUUGAACUAGAUGUUUCUUUGUGUGAUCCUAAUUCAUCAGUCUGCCACAGCAAACACAUUUAUGAUAAACUCUAAUAAAUUAGCAAAUUUUGUGAAGAGUUGGGGGGGAGGUCAAUCCUAGAAAGCUCUUAAGCCAAUCAACCAGAAAUUACUUCCCCACCCAAUCUAGUCAUCAGAUCACUAUUUUAAAGGAUGGGGAUUACUGUUCGUAUAGACCAUGGGUGGAAACCUAUAGAGCCCAGAUGCUCCAGUCAACAUGGCCAGCAUGACGAGUUGUCCGUCAACUUUGGAGAACUGCAAGUUUUCCACUUUAAAGCAAUUAUAACUCACUUUAUGGCCUGAAUAUUUAUUCCUUUAUGUUUGAAAGUGUUAAUGGUAAAUGGAAAUCAGGACACCAAAGAACAUGAGUGGCUGGACACCAUCAAAGCUCACACCAGCUAGAGCACAGAAAAAUGCAAAGGAGUAGUGCAAAAUUGGAAGAUGUAGAGGGACCUGGCCCAUAGAAUCGCCAAGAGUUGGGUAUGACUGAAUGGUUAUCAUCAUCAUCAAUAUGAUCAUUAUGGCUUGAAAGACUUUAAUAGCAACUGAUAGAUUAGAACAGGGGUCACCAACCCCCGGUCCGUGGACUGGUAUUGGGCCAUGACAUGCCACCAACUGGUCCGCACAAACAAGCAAAGCCCCAUCCAUGGGAUGCAGGCAGCACACAAAGCCACACACUCUGCAAUCCAUGGAAAAGCCUUUCUCCACGGAACCGGUCCCUGGUAUCCAAAAGAUUGGGAACCUCUGGACUAGAAGAUAACAAAUUCUUUUGGGGGGGGGAAUUAUCAAAACUGAUUAAAGCAAUCAAACUAAUUCCGUAUCGUCCAGUAGAAUUUAUUUUAUAACAAUGGAGACAUCGCUAUACAGAAAAAAACACGUGCAGUACAGGAUUUAAUGUCAUUUUUUUUUCCUUUAGGUGCCACUACAAUGAAAUAAUAUUUGAAGAAAAGCUUUCAUUACUGACUAGACUGGAAAAAUUAUCUUUGAGCUUGUAAGCAUAUUGACUACUGAAUGGAAAAAGGUAAAAUCUCCCACAGAAUUAGUUGGACUCCUGCCAACUUUAUGGACACAUUACUGUUGUCUUCCUGAAAACAGUAUAGAAGUAUUUUCAAGGUCGCCCUUAUUCAUAAUCCCAGGACUUCCUGAUCAUCUCCCAUCUAAAUAUAACCAGAAGCAAGUCUAUAUUACUUUUGAAUGUUUUUGACACCUUGCUAGGCAACUGAUGGUACUCGGAUAUUGCCAUAUCCUAAAAGUGGUACAAUGGAUGAAAAGGUCGAAAAGCCCUGUUCUAAGCCAUGUUUUGGAGUAUCUUUACAGAUGGGCCUCUGUGACGUAUCUUUCAAAGGUACUCUUGUCUCUGUAGUCUGAUUUUUAUAAUGGAAGGUAAGACCUUAUUGUCAAAAGAGUUUAUUAUUUUUAGUUUCAUUUUAAAACUGCACACAUAUUAGAAAUAACAUUUCAUGAGUGAUCAAUUUUGUUAAUAUCUGCGUCAAGGAAUGACAGAACUCUGAAGAGUAUUAUUUAAAUAUAUUCAAAGUGCUCUGUCUACAUCACUGCAUGUAUAUACCUUUUCAAAUAUGCUAAACCAUAUUGUGUCUCUCUUCUGAACAUAACUUACAACUAUUUUUUCUGUUCAUGAAAGAAAUAAUUUAAAUAAGAAAUUACUCACUUUAGCAGCCAUACUUAUA